GGUGAAGGCAUUGAAAGAGAAGAUUGAAUCAGAAAAGGGGAAAGAUGCUUUUCCAGCAGCUGGCCAAAAACUAAUUUAUGCAGGUAAAAUUCUUAAUGAUGAUACUCCUCUUAAAGAAUAUAAAAUAGAUGAGAAGAACUUUGUGGUGGUUAUGGUGACAAAACCCAAACCAGCAGCUGCACCAACACAAUCACUGGCAACAACUCAGCAAUCAAAUGCUAUCACCACUGUUAGCUCUACAAUGGCAGCUGCAGCUCCCACAUCAGUCCCUGCUCCAGCUCCUGUCUCUACCACUCCAACAUCAGCUGCAGUUGCUUGUGAACCUAUACCUGUAAGUGCCCCUAAAGAAGAGAAACCAUCUGAGACACCAGCUGUUCUCGGUCCAUCAUCAACUGGCAGUACAACAGGUGAUGCUUCUCAAUCAAAUCUUUUUGAAGAUGCUAUAAGUGCACUUGGUAAGUGCCAUUUUUAAUGUAGUCACUGCUUCAGUGCAGCAGAAACAAAUGAAGGAUGAGCAGAUGUUGACAUUCUCUACUACAUCUGUUAUUCCUAAAGUUAUAAUCAAAGCACUCUUCUCCAAGAACUAAAGUUGUCAUAGCAGAACUGACAUCAGGAACUUAUUUACUGAAAAACAUUUCACUUUAUAUGGAGUUAUUACAUGAAAAGAAAGAUGAAAGUUUUCUUCCCUCUGUUGAAGUGGCUUGGA